UGGGCGUAAGCGCGCGCAGGCGGUUUCUUAAGUCUGAUGUGAAAGCCCACGGCUCAACCGUGGAGGGUCAUUGGAAACUGGGGAACUUGAGUGCAGAAGAGAAAAGCGGAAUUCCACGUGUAGCGGUGAAAUGCGUAGAGAUGUGGAGGAACACCAGUGGCGAAGGCGGCUUUUUGGUCUGUAACUGACGCUGAGGCGCGAAAGCGUGGGGAGCAAACAGGAUUAGAUACCCUGGUAGUCCACGCCGUAAACGAUGAGUGCUAAGUGUUAGAGGGUUUCCGCCCUUUAGUGCUGCAGCUAACGCAUUAAGCACUCCGCCUGGGGAGUACGGUCGCAAGACUGAAACUCACAAGAAUUGACGGGGGCCCGCACACCCGGUGGAGCAUGUGGUUUUU
rnacentral:rRNA from 2 species